CAAGAAUUUCCUGCAGAGCGCGGCGUUCAUUCGUUUAAUCGAUUCGUAUCGUCGAUCGUGCGUUAUCGCGCGCAUAAAUCACCCGUUCGAAUCGGAGAAAAAGACAACCGAGAAAUCGAAUGGAACUGCAACGUUUCUGAAUCGAAACGCGUAAGGGAGUCUACCGUGGAUACACGCGAGGAAUACAAAAGGGACACGCGAUCGCGGAUCAACCGGAGUGAACCGUAACGGAUCAGAAGCGAGAAAUACCCAGGGAAAUGAUCUUCCGUUAAUUCGAUCGUCUAUGUACGAACUAUCUGCGACAUACAUAUUUCAUGGGAAUUCGGAUUACAUCGCGAGAAAUCGUAGUAGAGUUCGAGUUCCAGAAAUUCCUGAUCGGAAUUUCGAACGUGUGUAGCGUGCAUUGGCGUAACGCCACGCAGAUACACCAAGAUCGAUUACCAAUUUUCAACGAAUCUAUUUUCGGGAAUAAUACGCAGAUGUUGACUGAAUAUCCUCUACCUAUUUCCUCUCGUUUCGCGCGUUGUAAAUUCAACGUUAUUCGAACAAGCGCAGUCGUGUAACACUCCCACGGAAAACAGAAGGAGUCUAUUUGCAUCGUUCGUUGCUUUGAAAAUUACAAGAACUAGAAACGCGUAAUACGAUUUGCGGCGCUGCUCGACCGAAAACAGACACACUCGAUAUCGCAGAAACACGUGCGCAUCGCUACGCUACUGCAAGACGGUGAAUCCCAAGCAAGGAAGAACGACCUUUUACGAUGCACUAUUUUCGCCAAAAAGCAUACUGUGCAUAGCGCACACGCGAACGGAAUAUUCUAUAGAAGAUAACGUUACAAAAUCUUGAAUAGUGACGUGACUUGGUGCGUGAAUUUAGUCUGAAAAUCGUCCGAAAUAUACAUAUAUAUAACGUUCGGCGUCCUAAUCGAUACAGAAUAACGUAUCGUACGAUAAAUUCGUUUAAUGAUAUUGUUAUUAAAGAUUAAUGAACCGUAUAGCUUAUUUCCCGUAUUUAAAAUUGGGACGUUAUUCCAAUUUGUCAUACGUUUGUAACACAGAUAUGCGGU